UGGAGGAGGAGUGGAUUACCAAAGAGAGUCAAAUGGAGAAUGAAAUCAAGAUCCUGAAAGAGCAAAACUCUAAGCUUCAGGUCAGUCUCCUUAGCAUGCAGGAGAUGGCU